rnacentral:rRNA from 1 species
CCUACGGGUGGCUGCUAACUACGAUCAGCUGACCAAUGCUUACAUCAACGUCUGGGCGGCAAAGCAGAUGGGAGCCAAGAGCCUUGUGUUCAUUUCCUUCCCGCGUCACAUGAGCCUCGAGCUCAUUAGCCGUGCCUGGGCAAUCACGCAGGCGGCGGGAAAGGACCUCGGCAUUGCGACAUACUAUGAAAGCGCUUCCGACCCUCUCAGCGAUGUCGGCGUCCCGGGCGCCCAGCAGUACAUUCUUGAGCAUGUUCCCGCAUGGGUCCAGAAGUAUGGGACCGACACCGCAUUCUAUACGACCAAUCUGGCGCUGCAGGAGCCGCUGCUCAAGCAGAUCAUGAAAUACGGAGGAAUGUCGGUCGGGAUCCUGUCUCCUACGCUGGGAUACCCUGGUAGUC